rnacentral:lncRNA from 1 species
AAAACUGCCAUGGCUCUCCAAGCAACUCGAAACAUCCAAUACAACAUAAAACAUUCACAAUCAUAUUUAAACAAACUAUCUAGUACCAGUCGUAAAUUCACAAUCAUAUAUAAACAAAUUCAGAGUCAUAUAUAAACAAACUCCCUAGUACCAUUCAUAUAUAUAAAUAAAUUCACAGUCAUAUAUAAACAAAUUCACAAUCAUAUAUACACAAUCUGCCCAGUACCACUCACAAUGUGCACAAUUGCACAUUCACAAUCAUAUAUAAACAAAUUGCUUAGAACCAGUCACAAUGUGCACACUUGCACAGUCACAUAUAUAAACAAAUUCACAGUCAUGUAUAAACAAAUUCAUAAUCAUAUAUAAACAAACUGCCCAGUACCAGUCACAAAUUCACAAUUGCACAUUCACAAUCAUAUAUAAAAAAACUGCCUAGUACCAUUCACAAUGUGUACAAUUGCACAGUCACAUAUAUAAACAAAUUCACAGUCAUAUAUAAACAAAUUCAUAAUCAUAUAUAAACAAACUGCCUAAUACCAGCCACAAAUUCACAAUUGCACAUUCACAAUUAUAUAUAAAAAAUACGCCCAGUACCACUCACAAUGUGCACAAUUGCACAUUCACAAUCAUAUAUAAACAAAUUGCCCUGUAUCGGUCACAAUUGCACAAUCAUAUAUAAACAAACUGCACAGCACCAGUCACAAUUGCAAAAUCCUAUAACAUUCAGACAUCAUCUUUUCCGACAGUGGACUCAAUCAUA